rnacentral:lncRNA from 1 species
AUGGAGUCCACCCCUCUUCUACGGUCACUUCUUCCCACCAGAGCAGGCUCCAAGGGGCUGCUCUAUCAUUUGAGUGUUUUGAGUAAAUUACAAGGCUCUUAUCAGUGUUAGGGGGUGGGUAUUGUUCUGCCAGGACAUCUCCCUUUGUCCGAAAAACAAUAACUUGUUGUAAGUAGUACUUUUUUAAGUUUACCAAGCAGACAGACUAAUUGUAUCUUUUAAUCUGGGUCAAACUGCUCUUGCUUAUUACAAAUUGGCUCCGAAUCCUAAAGAGAGAGGGGAAAAUGUGAGGAACAUUUGCAAAUAAUUUAGAGGCAGAAUUACCUUCAGACAAACAUUAUGUCACGUUGGGGAGAAAUGUGCAUCCAGGCUUGACCCAACUGGGCUUGGGUUGAGCCCAAGCAAAAAUGAGGGGGAGAGGAUGAGCCCCUUACAGGUGCUGACUGCUUGGGUAGAUGUUGAGUCAAGGAAACUCCCUCAGGCAGCUGAGCACUGAUCAGAAGCAGCAGGUUGGACAAUUGCUCCCAAAGAGUCAGCCGGAAUCCAGGCACCCCAUAAAUUUGGCAAGAGGAUCUUUGUAGAUUUGUCUAAGGAUCUUAUCCUGGGUUAUUUAGGUGGACCCUAAACACAGUCCCAAGUAGUCUUCCAGGAGAGAGGCAGGGGGAGGCUCAACGUGGAUCAGAGAGGACAAGACAGAGAUGGACACAAGCCCAAGAAUGCCAGCAGCCACACAAAACUGGGAGAGAUUCGCCACCUGCUGCACAAGUGGCAAGGACCUGAGUUCGAUUCCUGGUACCAAGAAAAAGGAAAAGAAAACUGGGAGAGAUAAGGGACAACUUCUUACUAAUGAGAUCUCCUCCUCUACAACCUCUUGUUGUUGGAAGACAAUCACCUACAAUCCCGAAGUAAAAGACAGAGAGGAAGAAUCAUUGGCUCAGCUGUGAUCACAUGACAGCCGGCAUCACAUACCACGCAUAUUCUGAACAUAGAACAAAUGUAAAGCAUCAGCCUAAGUGAAGAAGAUGAGCUUGGAAAAUACUGUCACCAUGUCCAAUAUCGGCACAUGUUUCCUUCCUCUCACUUGGGCUCAACUGUGCUAAUUAAUGAGUUGAGUGAAUAGCAGCCAUUAGUCACUGGUAGACUCUUCUCUGAAACUCUGUUUGACUUUUUUGAAUUGUCACUUGAGACAGGGUGAAAGGGAGCCACACCAAAUCUUCUGGAAUUCCAAAUGGACAGAGAGAGAUCAUACCAGGCACCAUCAUCACCCAUCAAACUGAAUAUGUUAGAUUUGCAAACCCCAGGAUGGGGCUGGAAGGAAUGUGGAGAGGAGAGUAGGUAGCAGAGCUGAGAGAGCCCAUGGACUACAAACCCAGCUUGGUUCAUCACAACUGGAAAGACUGCAGAGGCCAGCCCCUCACUCCCACUGAGCCCCAGGUUCCUAGAUGGUCUCUAGGAGGGAAUGUUUGGAGGUGAUCUCCACUGCCCUAAGGGAAGAAUAAAGCCAAGAACAUCCUUCUGACUGGUACAAUGGUGACCUACCUUCAGCCAACACAGUCCAUAAACACAAGAUGGCAUUAGCAGGUGGCACUGGGGAACUGUUUGCUUGAUACAAGAAGUUGUUUUUUAAAGCAUUUACCAAAUUCCCAUGGACAGUGGCAAGAUGCAUUUUUCCCUAACUCCUAUUUGGGUCAAAACCUCUCUUUCUUGGCCAAUAAUGAGGCAGGUGAUGGCUAGAAGGAGACCUUGAAAUUAGGGUCCAGAAAUGGGCUCAUUUGACCCACAGACUGUCUUUUGGAAAAUGGUGACUCCAGGAAGGAGAGUUUAGAGGAUGCCCAGGCUUCCCCAGGUGACAAUCUGAAACCAGCCUGUCCAUCUGUCCCAGACUCUUCCCAUCCUCCACAUGACUGCCCAGCUCCUCCCAUGUGCCAUGGACAAAGCCAACUUAGCCUGGAGUUAUCUUUGAGUAGACUAGAAAAGUACCCUCUACCCGGACAACACUCGGGCUCCCCUCACUCCCCGUCAUCAUUUGAUAAGCUUGGGACACCUCCUUGCAUUCAGCACAGUACCCUCCCACCCACCAGAGGAUGCUGCCCAAGCUAGAGCAGGG